UACAUAGACGGCAGUGGUGGGUGGUGGGCCAGAUUUGACGGGCAGGCGGACGUCCGUUCGUCGUCGGCGAGGUGAGCCGCGGAUCAGAAUCGAGGCUGAGGAUUGAUGCUCCUGCACCGAGGAGAACAGCCUGCCCAAAUUGCAUCAGUGCGUUUGAGAAGGCUCUUAAGAGUUAUUCUGGCAACCCAGCUGAGAAUGUGAUCACACUAGUUCUUGGCACUACUUUCGACUUUUUGGACGAGGCGUACGACUUCUACAAUUUGUAAUCGGUGGUCCUGUCUGAUCGGUGGAUUAGGAAGUUCGCUUUCCGUGUACUGGUUGAAGAACCGAAUUGAAUGCAGGACCGAGUCUUCUUGCCCAGGGCGUAGGUCAUUUGGAAGCUGAGCACUGCAGGAUAGAGGCAAGGAGCACCGGCGGCGAGGCACCAUGGAGUUUCUGAUGCAGCCGAUCGACAGAUCUGCUCUGCUUGAGGAAGUAGGUAAGAGUUUGGUGCCGCCCCCUGUGGCUGUGAAUGGCCCUACGGUGGCGGUUUUGGAGGUGGCGCAGCAGGGCGGAGGGCGAGGUGGCGCAGCAUCGGACGGUGGACAGCGACGAAGCACAAAUCUUCUCGGCGAAGGAGGCGGCGGCUGAAGAAGGGAGAGCUCCCCUCCGACUUCGGAGCUAUCAACGAGGAAGCUGAAUCCCUAAGCGUCGGGGUGUAACAAGAGGCUUAGGAUUGGUGCUGCCGCAGGAAGCAGAACACCGUGCCCAAAUCAAAUCAGUGCCGUUCGAGAAGGCAGCCAGGUGUUGUGGAGAGAACCCAGUUGAAAAUGUGAUCACACCAGCUUUUGGUACUACUUUUGACUCUCUGGGCGAAGCAUACGAGGUGAUUUCUACGAGGGGGAACCGAGGUGAGCUGCUAGAUUUCAUGAUCGAGGUGCUGCCAUUCUGAAGUGAGAUGGGGUGUCAGAUAUGCAUUAUAUAUGCAGUAGGUGUGCAUUUGCUGUGAAAGCAUUUCGUUGUGCGGAACAAACUAAAGAGAAAGUUUAGCUACCAUCCCCUUUGAUGUGGUGUGGCAGUGGUUUCCUGGGGUUUCCAUCGCACUGGACGGAAAUGUUAGCUGCCAUCCACUUGUUGUGGUGUGGUGUUGAUUUCCCAGGAUUUCCAGUGUUAGCCAUGGGCAUGUAUUUUGAGUAACUAAUGUGUGUUUAGGCUCGCAUCCAGAAACCAGUGGCGGAUCUAGAACUACACGAUAGGAGUGCCAUGCUCAAUACUCACGUAUUUAAACACUAAUAGUACACCCAAAUGAGCCUAACUACUAGUAUAUAAUAAGUAUACUUUGCAUUUUCGCAGGGGGUGCCAUGGAACCCAUGGAACCCCAAUUGGAUCCGCCUCUGGCAGAAACAUCUGUCACAUAAGUAGUUGUGUUCGGACCAGGAUGUGGAUAUGUUAAGUUUGGAUGUAUGAUUAUGUGUGAGAA